rnacentral:lncRNA from 1 species
UCCCCUCCCUUUUUUAAUCCAAACGACUACCAAUAGUUCCCUCAUUUCUCCUCUAUCAGCCUCCUCUAAACACCACUCUCUCAAACUCUCUCAAAGUUUCUCAAACCAUAGCACCACUUGUCGUCUCUGACCGAAGAUCCACUGGAAUCUACAGCCACCAAAGCCAUGGGGGUCCUAAUCCCACGCCCUGGUACUCUUAUACACUGAUUUCCUGAAGGUUCAAGGCCUAACCUUGAAUAUUUGUACCCAGGCUUCCUUCGAUUCAAGGGUUCCAUGGUCGUCUCAGGCUUUACUCUGGCGUACCAUGAUCAUUCGAGCAUGUGUCUAACUUCUCUGACUUAGAUCGUGACUUUUCCAAGCCUUUCUCACUUCUAGAUUCCUCUCAAACCCUAACCUUUUGUGCUUUUUCUGAUUUCUCUAGAUCUGUGUUUAUUUUAAGAUUUCAAAUGUUUUCUCAAAGUUUCUCUCAAAACCUUUCUUUCAAACCUUUCGUCUUCUCUGAUAUAGGGUUUCUUUGAGUUCUUACAUGCUCUACUGUGAUUCUUAUGUGUUUCUCCUACUGUCUUUCUUCUACAAUGAUCCUUAUGUGUUUCUUCUACUGUAUUUUCUUCUACCUUGUUCUAAUGAUUUCUUCUACUAUAUUCAUUAACGAUUUUUCUUUUGUUAUGUUUUUUAUAAGGUUCCUUUACUGGGAAGUACAUGUUAAAAGUCUCAGUGCCUUUAUGAUUUAUGAACUUAUUUCAUCAUUUUUUCUGCCUGAUUUACUUGCUUUCGUCUCUAUACUCGACUAAUGGUAAAAACCCUAGAUUUUGGGGUUCAUUCAACUUUUUGAGGCUACUUGUUACGUGAUUUGCUUGCUUCUUAUCUCUGAACGUGUUUGAUUUCAAAACUCUAGUCUCUUUGAACCUAUUUUGGUUUCUGAAGUUAUUUCAUCUACUUCUCGAUUGAGUUUCAAUAUCUUUGUUUUAACUUUGUUUCUUCAUGUGAUUUUGACUCCGUGAUAAAACUCUAUAAGACCUUUUACCUGACCCUUUUUGCAUGCUAUCUGAUAUUCCCUCUUCUCUGAGAUGACUACCAUGUUCCAAUAGUCCUAUACUCACUGAUUUUUUAUUGCAUGACACUUUUCCUUUGUCUUAAAUUCAGCCUCGCAUGCUUAAUAUAUAUGUACCCUAUUUAUAUGUAAAACCCCUUCCGUGCUUGGUUUACAAACUUGUGACUGAUUUUAAAACUUUCCUUAGUGAAAAUAUGAUUUCAUUCGCCUAUUAAGGUUAAGUGAUUUCUUUUCCUGUUUUACUUUACUGAAUCUUUUCCAAAAUUAGAAUUCCUCUGCACCUAUACUCGAUUGCUUACUUGUUAUUUUACUACUUCUUUUAUUACAAUUGUCAUCCU